AUUGAACGCUGGCGGCAGGCCUAACACAUGCAAGUCGAGCGGAUGACGGGAGCUUGCUCCUUGAUUCAGCGGCGGACGGGUGAGUAAUGCCUAGGAAUCUGCCUGGUAGUGGGGGACAACGUUUCGAAAGGAACGCUAAUACCGCAUACGUCCUACGGGAGAAAGCAGGGGACCUUCGGGCCUUGCGCUAUCAGAUGAGCCUAGGUCGGAUUAGCUAGUAGGUGAGGUAAUGGCUCACCUAGGCGACGAUCCGUAACUGGUCUGAGAGGAUGAUCAGUCACACUGGAACUGAGACACGGUCCAGACUCCUACGGGAGGCAGCAGUGGGGAAUAUUGGACAGUGGGCGAAAGCCUGAUCCAGCCAUGCCGCGUGUGUGAAGAAGGUCUUCGGAUUGUAAAGCACUUUAAGUUGGGAGGAAGGGCAGUAAGUUAAUACCUUGCUGUUUUGACGUUACCGACAGAAUAAGCACCGGCUAACUCUGUGCCAGCAGCCGCAGUAACAC
rnacentral:rRNA from 1 species